rnacentral:rRNA from 1 species
AUUGAUUUUAUGCUUGCAUAAAUGAUUUUUUGGAUUCGGAGCGAGUGGCGAACUGGUGAGUAACACGUGGGUAACCUGCCCCGAAGCGGGGGAUAACAUUUGGAAACAAGUGCUAAUACCGCAUAAUUAGUUGGAACCGCAUGGUUCCAACUUGAAAGAUGGCUCUGCUAUCACUUUGGGAUGGACCCGCGCCGUAUUAGUUAGUUGGUGAGAUAAAAGCCCACCAAGACGAUGAUACGUAGCCGACCUGAGAGGGUAAUCGGCCACAUUGGGACUGAGACACGGCCCAGACUCCUACGGGAGGCAGCAGUAGGGAAUCUUCCACAAUGGACGAAAGUCUGAUGGAGCAACGCCGCGUGAGUGAUGAAGGUUUUCGGAUCGUAAAACUCUGUUGUUAAAGAAGAACAAGUGUUAGAGUAACUGUUAACACUUUGACGGUAUUUAACCAGAAAGCCACGGCUAACUACGUGCCAGCAGCCGCGGUAAUACGUAGGUGGCAAGCGUUGUCCGGAUUUAUUGGGCGUAAAGCGAGCGCAGGCGGUUUUGUAAGUCUGCUGUGAAAGCCCUCAGCUCAACUGAGGAAGUGCAGUGGAAACUACAAAACUUGAGUACAGAAGAGGAAAGUGGAACUCCAUGUGUAGCGGUGAAAUGCGUAGAUAUAUGGAAGAACACCAGUGGCGAAGGCGGCUUUCUGGUCUGUUACUGACGCUGAGGCUCGAAAGCAUGGGUAGCGAACAGGAUUAGAUACCCUGGUAGUCCAUGCCGUAAACGAUGAAUACUAGGUGUUGGAGGGUUUCCGCCCUUCAGUGCCGCAGCUAACGCAUUAAGUAUUCCGCCUGGGGAGUACGACCGCAAGGUUGAAACUCAAAGGAAUUGACGGGGGCCCGCACAAGUGGUGGAGCAUGUGGUUUAAUUCGAUGCUACGCGAAGAACCUUACCAGCUCUUGACAUCUUCUGCCAACCCAAGAGAUUGGGCGUUCCCUUCGGGGACAGAAUGACAGGUGGUGCAUGGUUGUCGUCAGCUCGUGUCGUGAGGUGUUGGGUUAAGUCCCGCAACGGGCGCAACCCUUAUUAUUAGUUGCCAGCAUUUAGUUGGGCACUCUAGUGAGACUGCCGGUGAUAAA